UUAAGCGACUAAGCGUACACGGUGGAUGCCCUGGCAGUCAGAGGCGAUGAAGGGCGUGCUAAUCUGCGAUAAGCGCCGGUAAGGUGAUAUGAACCGUUAUAACCGGCGAUACCCGAAUGGGGAAACCCAGUGUGAUUCGUCACACUAUCAUUAACUGAAUCCAUAGGUUAAUGAGGCGAACCGGGGGAACUGAAACAUCUAAGUACCCCGAGGAAAAGAAAUCAACCGAGAUUCCCCCAGUAGCGGCGAGCGAACGGGGAGGAGCCCAGAGCCUGAAUCAGCAUGUGUGUUAGUGGAAGCGUCUGGAAAGGCGCGCGAUACAGGGUGACAGCCCCGUACACAAAAGCGCAUGUGCUGUGAGCUCGAUGAGUAGGGCGGGACACGUGGUAUCCUGUCUGAAUAUGGGGGGACCAUCCUCCAAGGCUAAAUACUCCUGACUGACCGAUAGUGAACCAGUACCGUGAGGGAAAGGCGAAAAGAACCCCGGCGAGGGGAGUGAAAAAGAACCUGAAACCGUGUACGUACAAGCAGUGGGAGCACAGGUUUACCUGUGUGACUGCGUACCUUUUGUAUAAUGGGUCAGCGACUUAUAUUCUGUAGCAAGGUUAACCGAAUAGGGGAGCCGGAGGGAAACCGAGUCUUAAUUGGGCGUUAAGUUGCAGGGUAUAGACCCGAAACCCGGUGAUCUAGCCAUGGGCAGGUUGAAGGUUGGGUAACACUAACUGGAGGACCGAACCGACUAAUGUUGAAAAAUUAGCGGAUGACCUGUGGCUGGGGGUGAAAGGCCAAUCAAACCGGGAGAUAGCUGGUUCUCCCCGAAAGCUAUUUAGGUAGCGCCUCGUGAAUUCAUCUCCGGGGGUAGAGCACUGUUUCGGCUAGGGGCCAUCCCGGCUUACCAACCCGAUGCAAACUGCGAAUACCGGAGAAUGUUAUCACGGGAGACACACGGCGGGUGCUAACGUCCGUCGUGAAGAGGGAAACAACCCAGACCGCCAGCUAAGGUCCCAAAGUCAUGGUUAAGUGGGAAACGAUGUGGGAAGGCCCAGACAGCCAGGAUGUUGGCUUAGAAGCAGCCAUCAUUUAAAGAAAGCGUAAUAGCUCACUGGUCGAGUCGGCCUGCGCGGAAGAUGUAACGGGGCUAAACCAUGCACCGAAGCUGCGGCAGCGACGCUUAUGCGUUGUUGGGUAGGGGAGCGUUCUGUAAGCCUGUGAAGGUGUGUCGUGAGGCAUGCUGGAGGUAUCAGAAGUGCGAAUGCUGACAUAAGUAACGAUAAAGCGGGUGAAAAGCCCGCUCGCCGGAAGACCAAGGGUUCCUGUCCAACGUUAAUCGGGGCAGGGUGAGUCGACCCCUAAGGCGAGGCCGAAAGGCGUAGUCGAUGGGAAACGGGUUAAUAUUCCCGUACUUGGUGUUACUGCGAAGGGGGGACGGAGAAGGCUAUGUUGGCCGGGCGACGGUUGUCCCGGUUUAAGCGUGUAGGUGUGUGUUCCAGGUAAAUCCGGUUCACUUUAACACUGAGGCGUGAUGACGAGGCACUACGGUGCUGAAGUAACAAAUGCCCUGCUUCCAGGAAAAGCCUCUAAGCAUCAGGUAACAUCAAAUCGUACCCCAAACCGACACAGGUGGUCAGGUAGAGAAUACCAAGGCGCUUGAGAGAACUCGGGUGAAGGAACUAGGCAAAAUGGUGCCGUAACUUCGGGAGAAGGCACGCUGACACGUAGGUGAAGUGAUUUACUCAUGGAGCUGAAGUCAGUCGAAGAUACCAGCUGGCUGCAACUGUUUAUUAAAAACACAGCACUGUGCAAACACGAAAGUGGACGUAUACGGUGUGACGCCUGCCCGGUGCCGGAAGGUUAAUUGAUGGGGUCAGCGCAAGCGAAGCUCCUGAUCGAAGCCCCGGUAAACGGCGGCCGUAACUAUAACGGUCCUAAGGUAGCGAAAUUCCUUGUCGGGUAAGUUCCGACCUGCACGAAUGGCGUAAUGAUGGCCAGGCUGUCUCCACCCGAGACUCAGUGAAAUUGAACUCGCUGUGAAGAUGCAGUGUACCCGCGGCAAGACGGAAAGACCCCGUGAACCUUUACUAUAGCUUGACACUGAACAUUGAGCCUUGAUGUGUAGGAUAGGUGGGAGGCUUUGAAGUGUGGACGCCAGUCUGCAUGGAGCCGACCUUGAAAUACCACCCUUUAAUGUUUGAUGUUCUAACGUGGACCCGUUACCCGGGUUGCGGACAGUGUCUGGUGGGUAGUUUGACUGGGGCGGUCUCCUCCUAAAGAGUAACGGAGGAGCACGAAGGUUGGCUAAUCCUGGUCGGACAUCAGGAGGUUAGUGCAAUGGCAUAAGCCAGCUUGACUGCGAGCGUGACGGCGCGAGCAGGUGCGAAAGCAGGUCAUAGUGAUCCGGUGGUUCUGAAUGGAAGGGCCAUCGCUCAACGGAUAAAAGGUACUCCGGGGAUAACAGGCUGAUACCGCCCAAGAGUUCAUAUCGACGGCGGUGUUUGGCACCUCGAUGUCGGCUCAUCACAUCCUGGGGCUGAAGUAGGUCCCAAGGGUAUGGCUGUUCGCCAUUUAAAGUGGUACGCGAGCUGGGUUUAGAACGUCGUGAGACAGUUCGGUCCCUAUCUGCCGUGGGCGCUGGAGAACUGAGGGGGGCUGCUCCUAGUACGAGAGGACCGGAGUGGACGCAUCACUGGUGUUCGGGUUGUCAUGCCAAUGGCACUGCCCGGUAGCUAAAUGCGGAAGAGAUAAGUGCUGAAAGCAUCUAAGCACGAAACUUGCCCCGAGAUGAGUUCUCCCUGAGACUUAAAGUCUCCUGAAGGAACGUUGAAGACGACGACGUUGAUAGGCCGGGUGUGUAAGCGCAGCGAUGCGUUGAGCUAACCGGUACUAAUGAACCGUGAGGCUUAACCCU
rnacentral:rRNA from 1 species